UAAAAAUGUAAGUUGAUAACCCCAUCUUUGUUAGUUGGUUGUACCAUAUUAAUCUUACCAAAUUUUAAAAGAUACUACAAAAAAGCGACCAAUUAAACAGCUUCUCGUUGUACAUGUUGUAGAUACUUCUUCACUUUUAACAUAUCCCGCUUGACGCUUGAAUAUCUGAUCUUUCUUAGAAAUUACCCAAAUAAACGAGGCGAUUAACAGAAAAGAAAAUACCCCCCCUAGUCGGCGGCUACAAGCAUAUUUCAGACGAAUUGUGCACAUCCUGUUACAAGCAUGAAAUUUGGCAUAGACCUUCCUCAACUAUUACUCUUUUAUUUCAGAUAGGGAGGCAUUUGAAAAAAAUGUCUCACUUCCGGUAAAAUCCAAAAUGGCGGACGUCAUACUUAAAUCAGCCCAAUAUCGAAGGCUAGCGUGUAAAAAUGUGUUAUUAUCAUGCUACUAUCAUAAUAUUUGGUACAGACCUUUGUUUUUUACUACUUUUGGAUAAAUUAAAUAGAUUAGAUGUCUUCAGAACUCCCAC
rnacentral:lncRNA from 1 species